UGAAAUUUGAAGUUUUAUUAAAAGAAAAAGGGGUGAAAAGAACAAAGUUUUGUCCAUUUUUGUUCAUCAUAGCUGAAAGUUAGAGAAGAGAAAGGAGAGGAGAAAGCUCUUGAGUAUUCGGUCAUUAGGAGGAGGAAAAUUGAAGGCAUUUCGUGUGUGGAUCUCGUCAGCAUAUCGUCGCAAAUAGGAAAUCCCCAACCAUAGUGGGCUUAGAGCUGUGAGGGAAUUCGGAGUGGCCACCCGUUCUGAAAGUUUGAUUUUCUUCUGGUGAACUGGACAUCCUUUUAUUUACGUUUGAAGUUUUGGGUUUUUAAAUGUAAUAAGGCCGCUUAAUUA